rnacentral:rRNA from 1 species
GACGAACGCUGGCGGCGUGCUUAACACAUGCAAGUCGAACGAUGAACCCGGAGCUUGCUCCGGCGGAUUAGUGGCGAACGGGUGAGUAACACGUGAGUAACCUGCCCUUGACUCUGGGAUAACUGCUAGAAAUGGUAGCUAAUACCGGAUACGACCCUCGGCGGCAUCGCCAGGGGGUGGAAAGAAUUUCGGUCAAGGAUGGACUCGCGGCCUAUCAGCUUGUUGGUGGGGUGAUGGCCUACCAAGGCGACGACGGGUAGCCGGCCUGAGAGGGUGACCGGCCACACUGGGACUGAGAUACGGCCCAGACUCCUACGGGAGGCAGCAGUGGAGAAUAUUGCACAAUGGGCGCAAGCCUGAUGCAGCGACGCCGCGUGAGGGAUGACGGCCUUCGGGUUGUAAACCUCUUUCAGCACCGACGAAGCGCAAGUGACGGUAGGUGCAGAAGAAGGACCGGCCAACUACGUGCCAGCCGCCGCCGUAA